GACGAACCGUGCGAACGUUGUCCGGAAUCACUGGGCUUAAAGGGCGCGUAGGCGGGCUAUCAAGUCCGGGGUGAAAUCCUCCAGCUUAACUGGAGAACGGCCUCGGAUACUGAUGGUCUCGAGGAGGAUAGGGGCACACGGAACUGUGGGUGGAGCGGUGAAAUGCGUUGAUAUCCAUAGGAACUCCGGUGGCGAAAGCGGUGUGCUGGAUCCUUUCUGACGCUGAGGCGCGAAAGCCAGGGGAGCAAACGGG
rnacentral:rRNA from 1 species